rnacentral:rRNA from 1 species
UGGGGAAUAUUGCACAAUGGGGGAAACCCUGAUGCAGCGACGCCGCGUGAACGAAGAAGGUAUUCGUAUCGUAAAGUUCUGUCCUAUGGGAAGAUAAUGACAGUACCAUAGAAGAAAGCUCCGGCUAAUUACGUGCCAGCAGCCGCGGUAAUACGUAAGGUCCGAGCGUUGUCCGGAAUCAUUGGGCGUAAAGGGUACGUAGGCGGGUAAGCAAGUUAGAAGUGAAAUCCUGUAGCUCAACUACAGUAAGCUUUUAAAACUGCUCAUCUUGAGAUAUGGGAGGGAAAGUGGAAUUCCUAGUGUAGCGGUGAAAUGCGCAGAUAUUAGGAGGAAUACCGGUGGCGAAGGCGACUUUCUGGCCAUAAUCUGACGCUGAGGUACGAAAGCGUGGGUAGCAAACAGG